rnacentral:rRNA from 1 species
UACGUAGGGGGCAAGCGUUGUCCGGAUUUAUUGGGCGUAAAGAGCGUGUAGGCGGCCAAACAGGUCAGCUGUGAAAACUCGAGGCUCAACCUCGAGACGUCGGUUGAAACCGUUUGGCUAGAGUCCGGAAGAGGAGAGUGGAAUUCCCGGUGUAGCGGUGAAAUGCGCAGAUAUCGGGAAGAACACCCGUGGCGAAGGCGGCUCUCUGGGACGGUACUGACGUUGAGACGCGAAAGCGUGGGGAGCGAACAGG